AUGCGAUCCAGUACAGGAGGCUCCUGGAGAAGGACCGUGGAAUGCAUAUUCAGGGAUGUUAGAUGGUGGCGUGAUGAUGAUCUGUUGAUGAAGAUUCUGCAGGUGCAUGGGGGUUGCUAUGGAUCUAAUACGGUGGUUGUUAGGGUUUUGGUGGCGGCGCUCAUGAACAUUACGGGAAAGGGAAUAUCUGAGUUAGAUCUUUAA